rnacentral:misc_RNA from 1 species
AAGUCGUAACAAGGUUUCCGUAGGUGAACCUGCGGAAGGAUCAUUAAUGAGAUCAUGCCCUUCGGGGUAGACCUCCCACCCUCUGUAUACAAUACCUUUGUUGCUUUGGCGGCCCCGUCGCAAGACAACCGGCUCCGGCUGGUCAGCGGCCGCCAGAGGAAUCAAAACUCUUAUUAUUAUUGUCGUCUGAGUACUAUAUAAUAGUUAAAACUUUCAACAACGGAUCUCUUGGUUCUG